AUACGGAGGAUCCGAGCGUUAUCCGGAUUUAUUGGGUUUAAAGGGUGCGCAGGCGGCCAUUUAAGUCAGCGGUUAAAUCGUGGGGCUCAACCCCAUUCUGCCGUUGAUACUGGGUGGCUUGAUUGCGGUCGAGGUUGGCGGAAUUCGUUGUGUAGCGGUGAAAUGCAUAGAUAUGACGAAGAACACCGAUUGCGUAGGCAGCUGACCAGACCGCAAAUGACGCUCAUGCACGAAAGUGCGGGGAUCGAACAGGAUUAGAUACCCUGGUAGUCUGCACAGUAAACGAUGAAUACUUGUUUUCGGCGAUAUAAUGUCGGAGGCAAAGCGAAAGCGAUAAGUAUUCCACCUGGGGAGUACGCCGGCAACGGUGAAACUCAAAUGAAUUGACGGGG
rnacentral:rRNA from 1 species